CACUGGACUACGCGGCGCGGCGAACCUCUGACGAGUCACGGCCCCAUCGUCUUUCUUUGGUUUCUCCGGUGUCCCUCCACCCGCCAUCCUCCACAUCUGGCGCCACUGCAUGCUCUCUUUCGUUUUCCCGGCACCGCUGUGCUCGGCCCGCCCAUAGAUUCUUUAGAUUUUCUCUUCCUCUCUCCAUCCGUUUUGACUAGAUCGAGGGAAAUCAAGAAUCCUCUAGAUUUUUCCAGAUCAAUUCCAGCGUUCUCCAUCUCCUUCGUCCUCUCGCUGCCCGAGCUCCUUUCUAGCCGAUUCAUAUCUAGAUCCUGUGCCCGUACCGCCUCCUAUGGUCACCAGGUAAGGGUACUGUGGAGGUCAGUCUAACGCUGGUUUCCUUGACUCAGCAACUUGCUCUGAUGAUGCACAGAGGCGGCGACGCGGAAUGUGUCAUUGCCGGCGACGGGGUGCGAUUGGGGGCAACAUGCGGAGGGGUGGAGGCCUUGGAGGGGACGAGGUCGAGUGGCUGAGCUUGGUCCCCGCGUUUGCCUCCAGCGAGAAGAGUAUUGUGGGCGGCACAGCGGCGGGGAGAACCUGCUGCGGAUUCUGGACGUGCGUGUGCCUUUGCACGCCUCCCGGCGGUUUUCCUUGCCCUCCACCUCGCCGCGGCGGUCGCCUGUCGUCGUCUUCUGGUGGCUGUGGAGUAUGGAGGAUCCUGCUUCCUUAGAUCUGUUCGCUGAGAGCCUGAGACGACCACCUCCUGGUGAUUCCAGAGGAGCAGAGGCCGCGCGCUUGGACCGUGCUUGACGCGGACCGGAUGGGGGUCGCUGCAGCCGCCCAGUCCCCCUCCGUGGCGGGUCGCCCCGUGGCAGGCUGGCAGCGCCGACGUAUACUUCCGCUACCUGCCAGGAAAUCGAAGUGGAACCCCAAGUGCGUCGAUCAGACGCCAAAUCCAUGGAGGAAAUGGAGCAGAGGCGGCCCCACUUUGUCGAAAUUCUCAGGCAAGCCUCCAUCCAGUACGACGACCCCCAUCCUCAGUUAGCGUGGACACGCCCGCUCCGUAUCCUAGCCGAGGCGGCUGGUGCAGGCACAGAAGGGGUCGACAGGUUGUUGCGGCGGUGUAGUGCCACUGCGACCAAGGAUGUUGACGGUCAAAGGUGACAGUGUGGAGGGGCUCAAGCUUGCGGGGCGGUGCGCCGCCAAGGUGGUGUUGAGCACUUUAAAACAAUUUUCAAUCGAAUCAGCCACCUCCGUCGCCUUGCAAAUUUCUGUAGGCUCAAACACUUUUCGGAGCACUUCAUGUCUUACAGACAUUUAGCCAAUUGUGUUACUUUGAUUUCACAUCAAGGCUUGAAAUCAUUCGGCUAUGUGGAUGAUUACUGAUAGGCCUAAAUUUCCUGACCGGGUUCUUCUCAUAGAUGAUUUUGUAUUAGAACAAUAUGAAACAGAGAUAUCAACUGAAUCAACCCCAUUUGCCGUUUCACUUGCAAGACACCUACACACUGUUGUUUGGUUCUGCGAUGUAUGGAGCGUUUUGGUGUUCUCAUUACAAUGAGCAAAAACUGACCAAAAAGUGCUAAAUAUGCAAGUCUUGACGCUAAAAGAUUUAUCAUCCCAAGAUUCAACUGGAAGGUUCUUGUGUGUGCUGCUCGAAUAUGGAAGUGUAGGCAUCAGAAAAACAAAGCAGAACUUAUAUGAGCUAGAGUUUAUUGUCGAUGAGGCUGAAGAUCAAAGAAGAAGCACAUAUCAGGCGUGCCACCAAGGAGUAGGUUAUCCCCGACACGGUUGGCAAAGGCAUGGAAAUUAGCCUCCUUUUCUCUGACAAAGAAGAGGUGACUUUGGUAAAUACUGAUUGCCCUCCAAGUAGAAAUAAUAAGGUUUUCCAAAAAUUGUGUUCUAUGUUUUUACGUCCCAGUUACCAAGUGUAAUGUGCAUACGAUGGUUUCCAGGGAUUGCAUAGUCAGUUUUUAUCUUUGAUGGUGUAAUAAAAGUUGCGACGAGAUCCCAUACAUGUACCACAUGCAUCAACAUUGUUGCUUUUUCUUUUUGCGAAUUCAUCUACAUUGUUGCUUGA